CUUCGGGCCAGUGCGCAUUGCCUACCCGCUGCUGGAAGACUCUUGCUGAGCGCCAGGCGCAGGGACUGGACGUAUACGGACCCCCGGGAACCCCGGAACUCGCGUUCCCAGCCAGACCUCAUCCCCUUCUGACAGAGACGCCCUCGUCCCACCGUUCCUUCAACGCCGCAGGCGCCAGGGGUCCCUCCCCACCGCCGAGCUCUGGCCGCCGCCCGCCCGCCUUCGGGGCAGCGCGGGGACCCCCUGGCCUUCGCCCAGUGCUCCGGGGCUCACCCGCUGCUCCUCGCCGCGUAGACCCGGAGGCUAGGGAUUGUUUCCCACAAGGGAUUGGAGGCCGGGGAAAGACUCGCCGGGAGGGGGAGGCGGGGAUGCACAUGCGCAGAGGGAGAGGCCGAGCGCCCGAGUUAGGCUGGUGGAUGCCGGGCUUGGAAGCGGCGCUAGACGGUGCCCGUCUACUCUGGCCGCACCCCUCAGUUGUAAAAUGAGGCUAAUGAUAGUGCCUAGCUAGCAGGGGUUUUAUGAGAAUUGGAGGCGCUUACGUUGUAAAAGCACUUAAACCGGUGUCUGACAUAUAAAUUGUUCAGUAUAUUUCUCACCAUUGUAUAUCAUGCUGGUCAUCACAAAUAAGGCUCUCCUACAGCCUUGUAUAGUGGGUUGAGAGAUUACUGUCUCAGUUACCCACUCCUGCUUUGAACCAGGAUUCUGUCAGUGUCCCCAGAGGUUGUGGAUCAAAUCAAUGUGCCUUUUAGACACAAGCCAAGAGAAGGAAAGGUGUGCUUGAAUUCAUUCACAAACAUUCAUGCAUCCAAUCAAGGAUAUUGUUACCAGGGGUCCU
rnacentral:antisense_RNA from 1 species